GCCGCGGGACAGAAGCCGGUGGCCUCCAUAGACAAAGGAUCCCAGGCUGCUGGAGCCUCUUCAGCUGGCCUGUGGACUUUGUUCUCUUGUCAGAUGACUGUGCAGCUGAGCGUAUCAGGCAUUCCAUGUGCUUCCAAAUGCUUUGGUCCGGUGGAUGAGGGAAUGAGUGCUCUUCUUGUGUCGUGGUUGAAUACCACUGCUCAGGGCAUCAUUGUUCACCUAGGGGACGUUGAUUCAGAAUUCCUGGGGUGCAUUUCUGCCAUGAGUUCCACACGCACCCCUCCUGUUUCUAUCCCUGUGGGACCCAGAUUUGCUCACCUUGUGCCUUUUGAGUCUUGUGUUCGCAGAGCUGAGAACCAGCUGCGGGGAGAUGGUGGCUUCAGGUUCCCUGGACCUCCCUGGGUCACUGGACUGCUGUUCUGACAGCCAGGGAUCAUCCUGAACGGGUCUUCACCCUGUCCAUCCUUGGGCUCUUAUUUGAAGGAAGAGUGCUGUAGUAUGUCUCUCAUCCUUACCCCUGUGAAAUGGAUAAAGUUCUAUUGUAACUGCCCACAACCAAGACAAUGAAUUUGCAACUUCAGUUCACUGAUCAUACUAAGAGUCAGCAAGAGCUAAUUUAAGGUCAACAUACAAUCUAACUGAAAAACUAUGAUAUCCAAAGCCUAUGGUGCACAGUAACCAAGGGCAGGUAAAAUACUCACCCUAAUUCCUCAUAAAGAAGACUGUUUGUAGUUGUUAGCUUGGCUGAAGCUUAAUGGGUCAUCAGGACCAUGGCAUCUGAGUGGCUGAACAAUGAAAAUGCCUUACCAGUAUGGGUCUGAAAAGGAGUAUGAGUGGGCAAAAAGCUGAUAUGCCUUUCUAUGUGCAAAAACAGAUCUUAGAGGAACAUUCAGUCAUGCAACUCUUCCGCCUUUUCAACCAAAAUUUUCCGCUAAUAUUUUCUGUUGCUGUGGCAAUUUCAUUUAGCAUAAAAAAUCAUGGAAUCAUAGAACAACUUGAGUUGAAAGGAAUUUGAAAGAUCACCUGAUUUCAAAUCUCCUGCCAUGAACACAGAUACCACUCUUUAGACCAGGUUGCUCAAAGCCUCAUCCAAUCUGGCCUUGAGGACUUCCAGGGAUGGGGAAUUCACAGUUUCCUAUUCCAGCUCCUCACUAACCUAUGGGUAAAGAAACUUUUAAUUCAAUCUGAUCUAUACAUCUCCUGAAUCAGUUUAAAAGUGUUCCCCCUUAUCCUAUGUAAAAAGUCGUUCUGCCUUUUUUAAAAGUUCCCUUUCAUUAUCCUCUCCAUGCUGAACAUCCCCAACCCUCACAGCCUAUCUUAAUAGACGAAGUGCACCAGCCUCUAAUCAUC